UCGAGGGGCAGCAUGGUCUUAGCUUGCUAAGGCCGAUGGCGACCGGCGCACGGGUGAGUAACACGUAUCCAACCUGCCGUCUACUCUUGGACAGCCUUCUGAAAGGAAGAUUAAUACAAGAUGGCAUCAUGAGUCCGCAUGUUCACAUGAUUAAAGGUAUUCCGGUAGACGAUGGGGAUGCGUUCCAUUAGAUAGUAGGCGGGGUAACGGCCCACCUAGUCUUCGAUGGAUAGGGGUUCUGAGAGGAAGGUCCCCCACAUUGGAACUGAGACACGGUCCAAACUCCUACGGGAGGCAGCAGUGAGGAAUAUUGGUCAAUGGGCGAGAGCCUGAACCAGCCAAGUAGCGUGAAGGAUGACUGCCCUAUGGGUUGUAAACUUCUUUUAUAAAGGAAUAAAGUCGGGUAUGGAUACCCGUUUGCAUGUACUUUAUGAAUAAGGAUCGGCUAACUCCGUGCCAGCAGCCGCGGUAAUACGGAGGAUCCGAGCGUUAUCCGGAUUUAUUGGGUUUAAAGGGAGCGUAGAUGGAUGUUUAAGUCAGUUGUGAAAGUUUGCGGCUCAACCGUAAAAUUGCAGUUGAUACUGGAUAUCUUGAGUGCAGUUGAGGCAGGCGGAAUUCGUGGUGUAGCGGUGAAAUGCUUAGAUAUCACGAAGAACUCCGAUUGCGAAGGCAGCCUGCUAAGCUGCAACUGACAUUGAGGCUC
rnacentral:rRNA from 1 species